CCGGGCUGAAAUUUUUUCCCAGUCCGGCCCUGUGUGUGUGUAUACGUACAUACACACACACACACACACAUACACACAGGGCCAGACUGGGAAAAAAUUUCAGCCCAG